GUAGGCGGCUUGUAAACAAGGUGUUAAAUCUGAGAACUCAACCCCCAGCCGCACGUUGAACUGGCAGGCUUGAGUUCGGUAGAGGAAAGUGGAAUUCCCAGUGUAGCGGUGGAAUGCGCAGAUAUUGUGAAGAACACCAGUGGCGAAGGCGGCUUUGUGGGCCGUAACUGACGUUGAGGCGCGAGAGCUAGGAGAGCAAACAGGAUUAGAUAGCUUGGUAGUCCUAGCCGUAAACGAUGUGCACUAGGUGUGGUGAGAUCACUCUCUCCGCACCGCAGCUAACGCAUUAAGUGCCCUGCCUGGUGAGUACGGCCGCAAGGCUAAAACUCAAAAGAAUUGACGGGGGCCCGCACAAGCAGCGGAGCAUGUGGAUUAAUUGGAAGCAAUGGGAAGAACCUUACCUGGGCUUGCCAUGCAAGUGAAGCGGCGGAAACGUCGUGGCAGAAAGAAGCUUUCACAGGUGGUGCAUGGCUGUUGUCAGGUCGUGUUCUGAGAUGUUGGGUUAAGUCCCGCAAAGAGCGCAACCCUUGUCCUAUCUUGCUAACAUUUAGUUGAGGACUCAUACGAGACUGCCGGGGUCAAGCCGGAGGAAGGUGUGGAAGAAAUCAAGUCAUCAUGCCCAUUAUUUCCAGGCCUGCACACGUGGUACAAUGACCGGUACAAAUUGCUGCGAACCCGCGAGGGUAAGCGAAUCACUUAAAGCCGGCCCCAGUUCGGAUUGGAGUUUGCAAUUCGCCUCCAUGAAGUCGGAGUUGAUAGUAAUCGCGGAUCAGCAUGCCGCGGUGAAUACGUUCCCGGGCCUUGUACACACCGCCCGUCACACCACCCGAGCCGUCUGCGCCCGAAGUCGCUGGCCUAACCCGCAAGGGAAGGAGGUGCU
rnacentral:rRNA from 1 species